ACCUUUCUUGUACCAAUGGUUAUCAACUUUAAUAUAUCCCAUCCUCCUCAAAGAAUUUUGUGAUAGGUGUCAAAAUGUUUUAAACUUCUUGAAGGUUCCUUUUCCAAAUUAACACCAAAUUGUUUUAAGACCAAAGUGAGGAAUAUAUUAUAUGGUAGUGUAGGCUUUGCUCUUAAAGAUGCUUCUUGCAUAAUUUUAAUCAAUACUACCAGUG
rnacentral:lncRNA from 1 species